CCCUGGGCAAGUCAUAAUAUAGGAAGAAAGGAAGGGAGGAAGGAAGGAAGGGAGGGAGGAAGGAAGGAAGAAAGGGAGGGAGGAAGGGAGGAAGGAAGGAAGAGAGGGAGGAAGGGAGAGAGGAAGGAAGGGAGGAAGGGAGGGAGGAAGGGAGGGAGAAAGGAGAGAAGGAAGGAAGGAAGGAAGAAAGAAAGAAAGAAAGAAAGAAAGAAAGAAAGAAAGAAAGAAAGAAAGAAAGAAAGAAAGACACCAAAGGAAAGAGAAAAGAAGGAAGGAAGGAGAGAAAAAGAGGGAGGGGAGAGAGAGAGAGAGAGAGAGAGAGAGAGAGAGAGAGAGAGAGAGAGAGAGAGAGAGAGAGAGAGAGAGGACGGAAGGGUCUCAAAGGUUGUAUGUAUGUUGAUGGGAAAUGAGUUUGUAGUGUUGUCUGGACAGAGCAGAUGAGGCUGAGUAGUUACAGCUGCUUACUAUCUUCCAGUUUAGGGAAAAUAUGUUUGGAAGAUGACCUGAAGCUGAUCUUCUCUGCGCCCUUUUGAGGGCCAUCUAAUCUACCUAUAUCUUACAUGUAAUCUAGUUAUUUCCAUGUUAGCUCCCCAUUAGAAUAUGAUCUUUCCCAGGGCAGGGACUGUUUUUGUUUUUCUUUGAAACCUCUGCCCUUGGCCCAGGGUUUGGCACAAAGAAAGGGCUUAAACUGUUGACUGAUUGUCUUAUACCUUCAUCGUAAAGGGUGGGAGAGGGCAGUGGGGCAGAAAUGGGCAGAUGAUCCCACCAAUCAGCUGAAGUUCCUUCCAAGUCUAAGAUUCUAGGACUGUAUACUAAAACCCUAGAUUUUUAAGAUUCUAAAACCCUCAUAUUCUGUCUUGCAAGUCUAAGAUUCUGCUGAUCUCAUCAGGAAAAUGAAGGAGGAUGAGUUUAUUCCUUACCUAGAGUAAACUAUAAGCUCUCUUUGGAAGGAUCCAUGAAGCGCUUUUCUGCUCCCAGGCAAUGAAACAGACAUAGUGUCCCCUCCUGUUAGAAAAUGAGUUUAUGCUUCAAGGAUACUUUGGUCGGCUCGAAUCUUUUCUAUAUCCCCAGCUUCUCUGACUGACUCCACAGGCCUUUCUAGUUUGUCUGAUGGGCCCUGAUCUAAGGUCUGACAGUGCCUGGUCUGAGCAGAGUUACAGGACACACACAGGGCAGGAAAGGUGCCAAGCCACAGAGGAAAACCAAAGACAUUCCAACCUGACCCUCUCGUAAAGAUAUCUGUGCAUCAUGGUGGGGUGGGGAGAGAGACUGCUGGAACAAGACAAGAGCCUUAGACAGGUCUAUGACAAAAUCUGGCAGUAAGUGGAGCAGACAGAACACCCCUGAACAGUGGAAUGCUCUCUGGAGUCCAAGGACCUGGGUUCUCUUCCCACCGCCGAUGGCACUGCCUUUGUGACCUUGGACAAAUUAUUGGAUCUCCCUUAGAGGCAGCUGAGGGUGCAAUGGAUAGAGCACUGAGGAAGGAGUUUCAAAAACCUGUUUUCAAAUCCAGCCUCACCCUUACUAUCUUUGGGACCCUGAGCAAGUGACUUAACUGCUGCCUGCUUCAGUUUCCUCAGUUGUAUAAUAGAGUCCGUAACACCUCCUAGGGUUGUUGCAAGGAAUAAAUAGGAUCAUAUCUGUAAAGGGCA
rnacentral:lncRNA from 1 species